UGGGGGAUAUUGCACAAUGGGCGAAAGCCUGAUGCAGCGACGCCGCGUGGGGGAUGAAGGCCUUCGGGUUGUAAACUUCUUUUGCUCUGAACAAGGCAUGCUAAUGGGUGUGUUGAGUGUAGGGGUUGAUUAGCGCCGGCUAACUACGUGCCAGCAGCCGCGGUAAUACGUAGGGCGCGAGCGUUGUCCGGAAUUAUUGGGCGUAAAGGGCCUGUAGGUGGCUGGUUGCGUCUGUCGUGAAAGCUCAUGGCUUAACUGUGGGUUUGCGGUGGGUACGGGCUGGCGUGAGUGCAGUAGGGGAGGCUGGAAUUCCUGGUGUAGCGGUGGAAUGCGCAGAUAUCAGGAGGAAUACCGGUGGCGAAGGCGGGUCUCUGGGCUGUUACUGACACUGAGGAGCGAAAGCAUGGGGAGCGAACAGG
rnacentral:rRNA from 1 species